UGCUGUGCGUUUCGCGCCUUUUCCGGAUCUCUCAAAAUCAGGCGGGGGUUCUUUCUGAACGAACAAACAGACAGCGUCAUCCAAUCAGCUGGUUUUUAAGACCGCCGGUAUGUUGUCAAUGUUUUGUGAACACUUGUUUCUUCAAUAGAUUUGGGCCUCCUUCCAAUAAAAGUGAUUAAUUUAUUAACUUAUUGUGUGGUGUACGAUUAUUAUCAAAGAAUUGUUAAUGGGAAAUUCAUAUAUGGAUAACGCCAAGAACGGCAACCAUGUCCCAGAACAAUAGCAUAAAUUAUUAUAUUCACAACCUUGACGGGCAGCCUCAAAAUAUGGUAAAAGUAGUGCAGACUAACAAUUUACAAGCACAUUCAUACAUUGUUAAGCAAAAUACUGUCAAAGUUAUUAAAACAAAAUCUUUAGAAGAC